rnacentral:tRNA from 1 species
GGGGAGUUGGCUCAGUGGUAGAGCGCUUGCCUUACAUGCCUGAGGCCCUGGGUUCAAUUCCUCAGCACCACA